CCCGAGACUAGUCCCAUCCUGACAGCUGCUGUCCUGGCGUGCUAGAGUUCUCGGGAAGAACCUGCGGGUCUCGGUUCACUGGCGAGGGCAGUAAGUGCCCAGAUCAGAAACACAG
ensembl:snoRNA